AUUCAAACCACCAAACUUGGAGAUAAGGGACCAUUGUUGGGUUCCAGUCAAAAGAUAGGUGGUUGGCUAAGGCAGCAGCUGUGGGGGAGACUUAAAGCAGCCUUGAGAACGAUUCUGAGCAGCACCGUUUCAAAGGGAUAGCCAGCCAUUUUAUGAGGCAAGAUGACCCAGGAAGGAGAGGCAGGUUCUUUAGCUGUGUGGUCUUGAAUGAAUGCUGUGUGAAGAUAGGUGUCCUGGAGGCCUGCUGGAUUCCUUUAGUGGAAAAUAGGAAGACUUACCAGUUGACCUGGUGCUACUGUCUACACCGACUUCCAGUUCAGAAAAGGCAAAGUCUCAGGAAGACUCUCAGGAAGUAAUGUUAGACCCAUGACAUUGACCGCCAUGUAGUUCAGGGGCCCAGAGUCGAGGUGAGAAAGUGAGCAUGUGAGAACUUAAAGGUAUUUCUAGGCAUACAGUUUUAAAGGAGAACACAGAGAGGAAGCAAGAGGAACAGGGCACGCUGGGAACAAGGAAACCCUUGAAAAGGAAUAGGAAGCCUGGGUUGAAAGAGAAGCUUAUGGCCCUGAAUCCGGAAAACUGAUUCCGGAUUAGCAGGUUCCAAGCAUCCCCACAUUGGACGCGCACAGCAUGACCCAUCUUCACACUCCCAGCACCUACUCCCGGGGGCAUCAUGACAGAUGGACAGCAGUAGACAUUAAAAUCACAGUAGGCUGGAGCCAGGCUCUUUCCCCAAUAUCCGCAUCCCUUUCAGGAUCCCUUCUAGAAGCUUCUCAAGCUCCAGGGAGCCGUCUGCACUGGCUCAGAUGUGGCAGAGAAAGAAUUAAAACGUGAGAGGCAAGAUCAGAGAGAGACUUGCUCCCCCUCAAGAACCUCUUUAGUAGAGGAAAAAAAAGCCAGGCAAUUUUUAAUCAUCACGGAUUGUUUAAACUUCUGAAUCCGUCUUCUCUGAAGCCAAGGGAGCACCCAUUGUGGCUGGUACCCAGCAGUAGUCCAAGUUUAGCCCUUGGUCCACCUACCCUCAACAGUCACACACAUUUCCUGGACCCUUCCUUAGGUCCUCCCAGGGUCCUUGCUAGGCCAGGCCAGCAGGACCCUGCUUAUCUAAGGAGAUCUGACAAGACUGCAGCCCUGGGGGUAUGGCUGCUGGCGAAACAUAUGGUACAUCGUAAAUAGGACUUCCUUUUAGGAAAUGAGCUGCUGUAAUUAAAUCCCCAUUCAUUUUUCUGUAACAUACACAUAGAGACAAAUAGAUCUUUAUCCUUUGGAAGCUCCAAAGAAAAAAGGCUUGUGGGGAGCUGAGAUUCUCAGCUCAGAACUGUGACUUUUAUAAAAGAUUGCUUAGAUCCAGGUGAAAUAAGAAGUCCCUUUUUUGGGGGGGGUGGAGUGGGGGGUGGAGUCCUCU
rnacentral:lncRNA from 1 species